UCCGGACCCGCUCUGACCGACGAUGAGCGCGCAUUUUUGCGCGAUCAGCGGCCGUGGGGCUUCAUCCUUUUCAAGCGCAAUAUCGAGACACCUGACCAAGUCGUUCGACUGGUUGAGGAAAUGCGCUCGGCCAUAGGCCAACCCGGAGCGCCGGUCCUGAUCGACCAGGAAGGCGGCCGGGUCCAGCGGCUCCCGGCCCCCCACCGGUGGCCGGUAUAUCCGCCCGGGGCGGUCUUCGGCGCGUUGUACGACGUUGACCGGGAAAC
rnacentral:misc_RNA from 1 species